CAUUUCUGCUGAUUCAGCUGCUUUGCCCAGCAACCAAGGAACCAGGUCUGCCCAGCCCUUCCAUCCUUCGAGCGGCACUGGCCCAGCAGAGCAGGACACUAGAACACGGUAGCAGUGGCCCAUGGGAAGAGAUGAGGCCUCAAAAAAUGAAUGCAUCUGGAGACCUAGCCUCCUUCUCCUCUUUGUACCAACCCAACUCCGAAACCUCUGUAGGGGCUGACCUGCUGGAAAAGAAUCUUGCUGAGAUACAGAACCUGCGCCAGCGCCUGGAGGAGUCCAUCAGUCUCAAUGACCGCCUGAGGGAGAGGCUGGAGCAUGUGCUUAGCAAUGGUGACCAAGGAAAAGGUACUGCACAGUCCACUGUAGCCCCUCAUUCAUAUACUCAGAGUCACUCUUCUGGCUGUGGCGAGGACAUCCUGUGACAUGAUGCCUAGAGAG
rnacentral:lncRNA from 1 species